UCCCAGACUCCUACGGGAGGCAGCAGUGGGGAAUAUUGCACAAUGGGGGGAACCCUGAUGCAGCGACGCCGCGUGAAGGAAGAAGUAUCUCGGUAUGUAAACUUCUAUCAGCAGGGAAGAAAGAGGACGGUACCUGACUAAGAAGCCCCGGCUAACUACGUGCCAGCAGCCGCGGUAAUACGUAGGGGGCGAGCGUUAUCCGGAUUUACUGGGUGUAAAGGGAGCGUAGACGGCGACGCAAGUCUGAAGUGAAAUGCCAGUGCUCAACACUGGAACUGCUUUGGAAACUGUGUGGCUAGAGUGCAGGAGAGGUAAGUGGAAUUCCUAGUGUAGCGGUGAAAUGCGUAGAUAUUAGGAGGAACACCAGUGGCGAAGGCGGCUUACUGGACUGUAACUGACGUUGAGGCUCGAAAGCGUGGGGAGCAAACAGGAUUAGAUACCCGAGUAA
rnacentral:rRNA from 1 species